rnacentral:lncRNA from 1 species
AAUACUUCUAGUGUGUGUGACCCCAUAGGUUCUAUUCUGACUGGUAGUGAGAUAUAUUAUGAUCUCUAUUAUAAUAUCAUUGAAAACUCCUUUUAAUGGAUUGGAACGAUUCUAACUCUACUCAUUAGGGUUUAUCGAUCAUCGAGAUAAUCCCUGUGAGUCCCACCAUCCACCAGUGACACCUAGCAGCAUGUAGUGGCUACCCAGUAGAAUAGAAUGAUGAACCUCUAGGUGCAGUUA